rnacentral:rRNA from 1 species
GCUCAAAUUUGAAAUCUGGCCCUCGGGUCCGAGUUGUAAUUUGUAGAGGAUGCUUUUGGCGCGGUGCCUUCCGAGUUCCCUGGAACGGGACGCCUUAGAGGGUGAGAGCCCCGUACGGUUGGACACCAAGCCUCUGUAAAGCUCCUUCGACGAGUCGAGUAGUUUGGGAAUGCUGCUCUAAAUGGGAGGUAAAUUUCUUCUAAAGCUAAAUAUUGGCCAGAGACCGAUAGCGCACAAGUAGAGUGAUCGAAAGAUGAAAAGCACUUUGAAAAGAGGGUUAAAUAGCACGUGAAAUUGUUGAAAGGGAAGCGUUUGCGACCAGACCUUUUCCUGGCGGAUCAUCCGGUGUUCUUCACCGGUGCACUUCGCCAGGUCGAGGCCAGCAUCGGUUUCCACGGGGGGAUAAAGGCUCUGGGAACGUAGCUCCCUCGGGAGUGUUAUAGCCCUCUGCAUAAUACCCUCGCGGGGACCGAGGACCGCGCCUUCGGGCAAGGAUGCUGGCGUAAUGGUCGUCAACGACCCGUCUUGAAACACGGACCAAGGAGUCGAACAUUUGUGCGAGUGUUUGGGUGUUAAACCCUCACGCGUAAUGAAAGUGAACGGAGGUGAGAGCCCUUACGGGUGCAUCAUCGACCGAUCCUGAUGUCUUCGGAUGGAUUUGAGUAAGAGCAUAACUGUUCGGACCCGAAAGAUGGUGAACUAUGCGUGGAUAGGGUGAAGCCAGAGGAAACUCUGGUGGAGGCUCGCAGCGGUUCUGACGUGCAAAUCGAUCGUCAAAUCUGCGCAUGGGGGCGAAAGACUUAUCGAACCAUCUAGUAGCUGGUUACCGCCGAAGUUUCCCUCAGGAUAGCAGUGUUGUUCUUCAGUUUUAUGAGGUAAAGCGAAUGAUUAGGGACUCGGGGGCGCUUUUUAGCCUUCAUCCAUUCUCAAACUUUAAAUAUGUAAGAAGC